rnacentral:ribozyme from 1 species
GCUGCUCCAAUAUGCUACCUCUCCGUGGUGAGCAGCAGGCAACAGAUGAAAAUCUGGCUAAAAGCAUAG